UAGGGAAUCUUCGGCAAUGGACGAAAGUCUGACCGAGCAACGCCGCGUGAGUGAAGAAGGUUUUCGGAUCGUAAAACUCUGUUGUUAGAGAAGAACAAGGACGUUAGUAACUGAACGUCCCCUGACGGUAUCUAACCAGAAAGCCACGGCUAACUACGUGCCAGCAGCCGCGGUAAUACGUAGGUGGCAAGCGUUGUCCGGAUUUAUUGGGCGUAAAGCGAGCGCAGGCGGUUUCUUAAGUCUGAUGUGAAAGCCCCCGGCUCAACCGGGGAGGGUCAUUGGAAACUGGGAGACUUGAGUGCAGAAAAGGAGAGUGGAAUUCCAUGUGUAGCGGUGAAAUGCGUAGAUAUAUGGAGGAACACCAGUGGCGAAGGCGGCUCUCUGGUCUGUAACUGACGCUGAGGCUCGAAAGCGUGGGGAGCAAACAGG
rnacentral:rRNA from 1 species